UGGCGGCGUGCUUAACACAUGCAAGUCGAGCGAGGCGGAAGGGGGUAACUCCUUCCAGUCGAGCGGCGGACGGGUGAGUAACACGUGGGUAACCUGCCCGGAAGUGGGGAAUACCUCGGGGAAACUCGAGCUAAUACCGCAUAACAUCUUCGGGACGAAAGUCCUGACGAUCAAAGCGGGGUCGCAAGAUCUCGCGCUACCGGAUGGGCCCGCGCCCGAUUAGCUAGUUGGUGAGGUAACGGCUCACCAAGGCUUCGAUCGGUAACCGGCCUGAGAGGGCGAUCGGUCACACCGGAACUGAGACACGGUCCGGACUCCUACGGGAGGCAGCAGUGGGGAAUCUUGCGCAAUGGGCGAAAGCCUGACGCAGCAACGCCGCGUGGAGGAUGAAGGCCCUUGGGUUGUAAACUCCUGUCGGCUGGGAAGAAAUCGUUCGUGGCUCAUACCCACGGACGUUGACUGUACCAGCAAAGGAAGCCCCGGCUAACUCUGUGCCAGCAGCCGCGGUAAUACAGAGGGGGCUAGCGUUAUUCGGAAUUAUUGGGCGUAAAGGGCGCGUAGGCGGCCAUGCGUGUCUUCCGUGAAAUCCCUCGGCUUAACUGAGGACGUGCGGAAGAAACUGCAAGGCUCGAGUCCGGGAGAGGGGGGUGGAAUUCCCAGUGUAGCGGUGAAAUGCGUAGAUAUUGGGAGGAACACCGGUGGCGAAGGCGGCCCCCUGGACCGGUACUGACGCUGAGGCGCGAAA
rnacentral:rRNA from 1 species